GGGGGAAUCGAGCUGUAGGGACCUAGCGAGCCAACCUCCCACCCGUGUUUACUGUACCUUAGUUGCUUCGGCGGGCCCGCCAUUCAUGGCCGCCGGGGGCUCUCAGCCCCGGGCCCGCGCCCGCCGGAGACACCACGAACUCUGUCUGAUCUAGUGAAGUCUGAGUUGAUUGUAUCGCAAUCAGUUAAAACUUUCAACAAUGGAUCUCUUGGUUCCGGCAUCGAUGAAGAACGCAGCGAAAUGCGAUAACUAGUGUGAAUUGCAGAAUUCCGUGAAUCAUCGAGUCUUUGAACGCACAUUGCGCCCCCUGGUAUUCCGGGGGGCAUGCCUGUCCGAGCGUCAUUGCUGCCCAUCAAGCACGGCUUGUGUGUUGGGUCGUCGUCCCCUCUCCGGGGGGGACGGGCCCCAAAGGCAGCGGCGGCACCGCGUCCGAUCCUCGAGCGUAUGGGGCUUUGUCACCCGCUCUGUAGGCCCGGCCGGCGCUUGCCGAACGCAAAUCAAUCUUUUUCCAGGUUGACCUCGGAUCAGGUAGGGAUACCCGCUGAACUUAAGCAUUCUAAAGGGGGGGGAAAAAAAAAAAAUUGUUCCUCGGGCCU
rnacentral:misc_RNA from 1 species